rnacentral:piRNA from 1 species
CCUCAUUUCACAGUCAUGUGACUGGUGUGG